rnacentral:lncRNA from 1 species
AUGGAGACAUGUUUGGUCCUCGCUGUUUUCCAGCCUUUCCCCUACAGAUGUUUCUGGAGCUGCUUCUUUCUAGGAAUUGAAGAAGCUGAGGAUUCAAUUAAAAGUGUAUUGAUUUAUUGCAGGCUGUCUCUGGUAUUCCUGUGCUGUGGCAGCUGGGAUGGCAGGGGGGCCACAACCUUCCUGAAGGAGCAUCCUGAGAAGGACAGUUCUCACAGCCACAGGCACAACCCUCUCCUGGCCUGGCGAGUGGCGUUCAGCUCAGCAGCAGCUUCUCCCAGGCAACGCAGGGAAGAAUGAACUAGAGCUCUGGCUAAUGACUCCACAGAGAAACCAGCCUUUAUUAGAGCAGGGCCCUCUGUGAAGAGACCCAGCACAGAAACUUUCCAAACUGAGGGAAGAAAAUGGGGUAGAUAUAGGGAAUGCAAGGGGCAGGGAGAAACCAGUAACCAAUGGGAUGCAGGCAUGGUCAGAGAGUAAAGAGAAAAAACAGCAGUGAACCAGGGAUUAACACAGGGUUGCAAAGGCCUCUGGGGGAGAAAUUUUGCUCACCAUAACAAAAGGGUCUGUGGAUCAUGGAUAACUUCUCCAAGGGAGCACAGCAAGCUCCCUGUUGGCCGGUUCUUUGGCCUCCAUGUUCCUGGAUUCAUGUUCUGCAAGAAAUAAUGAAUGAUCACUCCUCAGUCACUUUAUUCACAUCAUUUGCUACUUUACAGGCCUCCAUCAUAGCUCUCUUCAGAUAUCCAAGCUGAUGAGUUGUAGUCUGUUCAGUCUUACUGCAUGUGGAAGACUUUUCUUUUUCUGACCUCCUUUGUGAGCCUUUUCCAGACUUGUCCUAGUCUUUGUGGAGCCCCGCCUCAGGAGUCUAUCAGAUACGUACACAGUGGCAUAAAGAUAUCUCCUUCCUUCUCAGUGAUCUCUGUCCUGGGGUGACUUUGUGAUAUUUGUAUCCCCAGUCACCUGGUUUAUAUUACAUAUUAAGUUCUGCACCUGUAAGACUGGCUCUGAGAGCGAAGAGGGGGAAGAAGAAACCACAGUUUGUGUUGAGAAAGAGCACUCACUGCCCCUCAUCCUGCUCCUGGACUGUUUUGUCUGCAGCAUGGACAGACAGCAGGACCGAGCUCUCCUUUGCUUUUAGUUAGUUUUAGGUAGCUGAGGCAGGGAAGUUCCCUGGACAAUUUUUUUUUCCCUUUUUCCUGGAUCUGUGCAAACCUGCUCUGGACUGAAAACCCAGCCAAACCCUGGGAACUCAUGCCUGUGGCCCACAGGGGCCUGGGCCUUGGCAUUUUCCAGUGAUAAGAGACUGAAUGAGCUGAGCUACACCAUAUGAAAAGGACUUUUCCUGAACUUGCCAUCUCAUCGAACAGCGACAAGUUUUAUUGUUUAAUAUUAUUCAAUUUCUGUUAAAUAAAUAGGUUUUUUUUCCACUUUUCUCCA